GCAGUAGGAGGAGCACGGCGGCCGAGAAGCGCGUGUUACCAGCAGGCAGCGGCGUAUCGCCUCACACCGAGCACAGGCCUGAGCUCCAGCCCGAGUGAAGAUGGCGGGCCUCGAGUCGGAGAACCUGUGGUCGCAGAGCAACAACAGCGUGCUGCCGGAGGACAUGAAGUUCAACGACGGCCACGUCGUCUCCAUCGCGACCUACAGCGUGCUGAUGGUGGUGUCGGCAGCGGGCAACCUCACCGUGCUCUUCAUCAUCCUGCGCCGGCGUGCGCGCUCCAGGGUCAACCACAUGCUGAUGCACCUCGCCAUCGCCGACCUACUGGUGACGUUCCUGAUGAUGCCGCUGGAGAUCGGCUGGUCGUCGACGGUGAGCUGGCGCGCGGGCGACGCGCUGUGCCGCGUGAUGGCCUUCUUCCGCGUCUUCGGCCUCUUCCUCUCCAGCUUCGUCCUCAUCUGCAUCAGCAUCGACAGGUACUUCGCGGUGCUGAAGCCGAUGAAGCUGAGCGACGUGGCGCGCCGCGGCCGCUACCUGCUGGCCGCCGCCUGGAUCAUGUCGGUGCUCUGCAGCACGCCGCAGAUGUUCGUGUUCCACGUGGAGUCGCACCCGAACGUGACGUGGUACCGCCAGUGCGUGUCGUACAACUCCUUCCCCAGCAAGCUGUCCGAGUACUCGUACCUGGGCUUCGGCAUGCUCAUGAUGUACGGCUUGCCACUCGCCGUCAUCAUCUUCUCCUACACGUCCAUCCUGGGCGAGAUCUACCGGCGCUCCCGCGAGUUCAGCGACGCAGACAGGUUCCGGCGCUCGAGUCUGGGGUUCCUGGGUCGAGCUCGCAUCAGGACCCUCAAGAUGACCAUCAUCAUCGUGGUGGUCUUUUUCAUCUGCUGGACUCCAUACUACAUCAUGUGCUUAUGGUGGUGGUUUGACAAAGACUCUGCAAUGAAGAUAGAUUUCCGCCUGCAGAAGGGAUUGUUCAUUUUCGCCAGCACCAAUUCGUGCAUGAACCCCAUUGUGUACGGAGUAUUCAACAUCCGAGCCCGACCAGACAGGGGGCAGGUAAGCAAUACAGAAGAAAGCGGCCAGGCCCUUUAUUCAUAGUACACUCUGUGCACUUCUAUGGAGAGUCAGCGGAAGGCAGUCCUACCUGUCACACACGACACAGUACGAAUCCAAGACAGGCAGAAAACAGCAUACACACCUUGCCUGAAAGGGAAACAGCAACAAGUCACGUCUCACAGUGGUCGCGGCGUGAAAGUGAUUUGUCUAGUCAGCUGGAAGAGACCCCCCAAGGUUCCCCCAAGAGCGGCCGAUCGUCCUUACGUGUGUUCAAGCUGCGGGGCGACAGACA
rnacentral:misc_RNA from 1 species